rnacentral:rRNA from 1 species
AUUGAACGCUGGCGGCAGGCCUAACACAUGCAAGUCGAACGAGUGGCGGACGGGUGAGUAAUGUCUGGGAAACUGCCCGAUGGAGGGGGAUAACUACUGGAAACGGUAGCUAAUACCGCAUACCAUCGGAUGUGCCCAGAUGGGAGUAGCUAGUAGGUGGGAUAACGGCGCACCUAGGCGCCGAACCCUACCUGGUCUGAGAGGAUGACCGCCCACCGUGUAACUGAGUCACGGUCCAGACUCGUACGGGAGGCAGCAGUGGGGAAUAUUGCCCAAUGGGCGCAAGCCUGAUGCAGCCAUGCCGCGUGGAUGAAGAAGGCCUUCGGGUUGUAAAGUACUGUCAGCGAGGAGGCGUUACUCGCAGGAGAAGCACCGGCUAACUCCGUGCCAGCCGCCGCGGUAAUUC